rnacentral:rRNA from 1 species
UACGUAGGCAGCAAGCGUUGUUCGGAGUUACUGGGCGUAAAGGGUGCGUAGGCGGUCCUAUAAGUAUGGUGUGAAAUCUCCCGCUUAACUGGGAGGGUGCGCCGUAGACUGUGGGGCUAGAGUGUGGGAGAGGAAAGUGGAAUUCCUGGUGUAGCGGUGAAAUGCGUAGAUAUCAGGAGGAACACCGGUGGUGUAAACGGCUUUCUGGACCAUAACUGACACUGAGGCACGAAAGCGUGGGUAGCAAACAGG